CUCUUCCCCGGCCCGGCCGGGCGGGACCAGUGCGCAGCCGGGGCUGGCGGGCGGCGGGGUCCGCGGGGCCGCAGGAGAUGACGGCCGGCGGCCAGGCCGAGGCCGAGGGCGCUGGCGGGGAGCCCGGCGCGGCGCGGCUGCCCUCGCGGGUGGCCCGGCUGCUGUCGGCGCUCUUCUACGGGACCUGCUCCUUCCUCAUCGUGCUUGUCAACAAGGCGCUGCUGACCACCUACGGUUUCCCGUCACCAAUUUUCCUUGGAAUUGGACAGAUGGCAGCCACCAUAAUGAUACUAUAUGUGUCCAAGCUAAACAAAAUCAUUCACUUCCCUGAUUUUGAUAAGAAAAUUCCUGUAAAGCUGUUUCCUCUGCCUCUCCUCUACGUUGGAAACCACAUAAGUGGAUUAUCAAGCACAAGUAAAUUAAGCCUACCGAUGUUCACCGUGCUCAGGAAAUUCACCAUUCCACUUACCUUACUUCUGGAAACCAUCAUACUUGGGAAGCAGUAUUCACUCAACAUCAUCCUCAGUGUCUUUGCCAUUAUUCUCGGGGCUUUCAUAGCAGCUGGGUCUGACCUUGCUUUUAACUUAGAAGGCUAUAUUUUUGUAUUCCUGAAUGAUAUCUUCACAGCAGCAAAUGGAGUUUAUACCAAACAGAAAAUGGACCCAAAGGAGCUAGGGAAAUACGGAGUACUUUUCUACAAUGCCUGCUUCAUGAUUAUCCCAACUCUUAUUAUUAGUGUCUCCACUGGAGACCUGCAACAGGCUACUGAAUUCAACCAAUGGAAGAAUGUUGUGUUUAUCCUACAGUUUCUUCUUUCCUGUUUUUUGGGGUUUCUGCUGAUGUACUCCACGGUUCUGUGCAGCUAUUACAAUUCAGCCCUGACGACAGCAGUGGUUGGAGCCAUCAAGAAUGUAUCCGUUGCCUACAUUGGGAUAUUAAUCGGUGGAGACUACAUUUUCUCUUUGUUAAACUUUGUAGGGUUAAAUAUUUGCAUGGCAGGGGGCUUGAGAUAUUCCUUUUUAACACUGAGCAGCCAGUUAAAACCUAAACCUGUGGGUGAAGAAAACAUCUGUUUGGAUUUGAAGAGCUAAAGAGUCUGCAGCAGGAUUGGAGACUGACUUGUGACUGCGGGCUGGGGGGGCAUUCCCAGUAGGAAUGUGAAGCCAGAGGUUUCGGAUUCGUGACAUCCACCCCCUGGGCAAGUGAGAGCAUCUGCAAAAUGCAAAGAGAACUACCUCAUAUGCAGGAUGAGCCAAUGGCAGUCUCAAGAAAUGUACUCGGGCGACACCUUACCUGUGGAAAGCAAAUCUUUUCAAAAUAAGCCACUGGGACUCGCUCGACUUGGUGGAAGUUCUGCCUCAGGUGGGCAUAGCCAAAAAGGGGUCAUUCUCUUCUCGGUUCCUGGGGAAUUGGAUCCAACUGGGAGAAGACCACCUGAAUUCUCAUCCCAUCUAAGUUGAAGAUGCUAUUUUUUAAAAAUUUAAUUUGUAAUUUUAAGUUCUGGGAUACAUGUGCAGGAUGUGCAGGUUUGUUACAUAGGUAAAUGUGUGCCCUGGUGGUUUGCUGCACCUAUCAACCUAUCACCUAGGUAUUAAGCCCCACAUGCAUUAGCUAUUUAUCCUGAUGCUCCCUCUCCCGCACCCCCCUAACAGGCCCCAGUGUGUGUUGUUCCCCUCCCUGUGUCCAUGUAUUCUCAUUGUUCAGCUCCCACUUAUAAGUGAAAACAUGCAGUGUUUGGUUUUCUGUUCCUGUGUUAGUUUGCUGAGGAUAAUGGCUUCUAGCUCCAUCCAUGUCCCUGCAAUGGACAUGAUCUCGUUCCUUUUGAUGGCUGCAUAGUAUUCCGUGGUGUGUAUGUACCAUGUUUUCUUUAUCCAGUCUAUCAUAGAUGGGCAUUUGGGUUGAUUCCAUGUUUUUGCUGUUGUGAAUAGUGCUGCAGUGAACAUACACAUGCUUGUAUCUUUAUUUUUAAAAAUCUUUUUUUUUGAAGACAGGGUCUGGCUCUGUUGCCCAGGCAGGAGUACAGUGGCAUUAUCUCAGCUCACUGCAACCACUGCCUCCCAGGCUCAAGUGAUCUGCCCUCCUCAGCCUCCUAAGUAGCUGAGACCACAGGGACACACCAUUACACCUGGCUAAUUGUUGUAUUUUAGUAGAGAUGGGAUCUUUCUAUGUUGCCUAGGCUGGCCUCAAGUGAUCCUCCUGCCUUGGCCUCCCAAAGUGCUGUGAUUACAGGUGUGAACCACCAUGCCCAGCCAGAGAUGCUCAAUUCCUGGAAACCAACCAAGGAAGCUGCUGACAUCGGGAUGGCUGGACUUUCUAAAGGUGCCUUAUUCUCCUGUUGUGAUGGUGGAGGUGGGCAGAAGUUGUGUGAUGACAGCCUCUGGAAUCAGACGGCCUGGGGCCACGUCCUAGCUCUGCCAGUUUUAAAAAAACAGCUUGAUCGAGAUCUGAUGAAGCAAGCUGCUCUUGGGAGCUGCCCUGUGAGGAGGCCCACACAGCAAGGAACAAAGGAGGAGCAACCGGAUCCUGCAACAAACAAGUGACUGGGCUGCUGUUUCCCCAGCUCCUCCACAGUAACAAAAGCCUUAUUCAAAGGCCUGUGAGUCAGAGGAUUAUGUAAAGAAGUUACUUUAAUCUAGAUGCCCCUGACUUGAUGGAACACGUCCAGUGACUCCUGGAAGAAGAUCUGGAGGUCUCCAGAGCAGCGUGGUCCCAGGAGGCAUACACAGAGAGCCACGGCCAGGGCUGAAACAGUCUGUUGAGUGCAGCCAUGGGGGACGUCCUGGAACAGUUCUUCAUCCUCACAGGGCUGCUGGUGUGCCUGGCCUGCCUGGCGAAGUGCGUGAGAUUCUCCAGAUGUGUUUUACUGAACUACUGGAAAGUUUUGCCAAAGUCUUUCUUGCGGUCAAUGGGACAGUGGGCAGUGAUCACUGGAGCAGGCGAUGGAAUUGGGAAAGCGUACUCGUUCGAGCUAGCAAAACGUGGACUCAAUGUUGUCCUUAUUAGCCGGACGCUGGAAAAACUAGAGGCCAUUGCCACAGAGAUCGAGCGGACUACAGGGAGGAGUGUGAAGAUUAUACAAGCAGAUUUUACAAAAGAUGACAUCUACGAGCAUAUUAAAGAAAAACUUGCAGGCUUAGAAAUUGGAAUUUUAGUCAACAAUGUCGGAAUGCUUCCAAACCUUCUCCCAAGCCAUUUCCUGAACGCACCGGAUGAAAUCCAGAGCCUCAUCCAUUGUAACAUCACCUCCGUAGUCAAGAUGACACAGCUAAUUCUGAAACAUAUGGAAUCAAGGCAGAAAGGUCUCAUCCUGAACAUUUCUUCUGGGAUAGCCCUGUUUCCUUGGCCUCUCUACUCCAUGUACUCAGCUUCCAAGGCGUUUGUGUGCGCAUUUUCCAAGGCCCUGCAAGAGGAAUAUAAAGCAAAAGAAGUCAUCAUCCAGGUGCUGACCCCAUAUGCUGUCUCGACUGCAAUGACAAAGUAUCUAAAUACAAAUGUGAUAACCAAGACUGCUGAUGAGUUUGUCAAAGAGUCAUUGAAUUAUGUCACAAUUGGAGGUGAAACCUGUGGCUGCCUUGCCCAUGAAAUCUUGGCGGGCUUUCUGAGCCUGAUCCCGGCCUGGGCCUUCUACAGCGGUGCCUUCCAAAGGCUGCUCCUGACACACUAUGUGGCAUACCUGAAGCUCAACACCAAGGUCAGGUAGCCAGGCGGUGAGGAGUCCAGCACAACCUUUUCCUCACCAGUCCCAUGCUGGCUGAAGAGGACCAGAGGAGCAGACCAGCACUUCAACCUAGUCCGCUGAAGAUGGAGGGGGCUGGGGUCACAGAGGCAUAGAAUACACAUUUUUUGCCACUUUA
rnacentral:lncRNA from 1 species